UUUAAACAUAGUCAAAAGUUUCCUUGUCUAAUUUGGAUCAUUUGUUUUAUUUGAAUUUUUUUAUGAUUAGUAUUUUUAUUGUUAUUAGAUGAUAAAAUAUGAAUAGUACUUUAUACGUGACUUAUGUUUUUAAUUUUUUUAAUUUUUUUUGAAAAAUUUAAAGUUGAACACGGACGUUUAAAAUGGGUCGGAGGGAACGUCGGCAUGUCAC
rnacentral:pre_miRNA from 1 species